rnacentral:snoRNA from 1 species
GUGAAGAUACUAUUACAGUAUAAUUGAAAUGUUUUAUUAUUGUUCCCCAUGCUUAAAGCAUUUGAUGCAUAAUUAUCUCUGUCUAAAGGCAGAGAUUUUGGUCUCAAGCAU